AGGUCCCUUAAGCUUACCUCCCGGGUAACCUACAAUCUUGAUCUACUUUCCCUCUUUUUUGUCCUGAUUUAUUUGUUUAUUCUGAUGCUAUUGGUGCUUGUUUCUUCUUGUUUUCUUAUUGUCCUGAUUGAAAAGUCUGGGCAUUUCAAGUGAUCUAGAUCUUGAACUUGUAAAGAUUCUUUCUGUGUUAUUAGUAUUAUUAUUAUUUUGGGAAGAGGGAGGGAGGUUGAUGGGUUGUUUUUAGAUUUACUACCCAAUUCAUAUAGACUCAAAUUCUUCCAAUAGAAUUUCAAGUUAUAAGUUUUUCUUCGAAAUCUGUUGAGGCUUUUGUUAUGUUACUGAUUGCCAGCUAAUAAAAACAUUUCCAACUAUUUUACCACUCGAAUGUGAAAAUUAUCUGGCAAAAGCUAAUCUGGCCAUGGGUUUGAUGUUAGAUUCUGAAAUACUUUUCCCUAUGUAAAUGAUAAAUUCAUCAAGCUUUGAUCCCUGUUGUUUUUUACUUGGUCAGUAUGAUUGUAGUGUGAGGAUCAUUUUAAUUUCAUAUUUAUAUAUACUAUUUUUAAAAAUAGGAUGCUUUUGGUGAUGUACUAAAUCUUUAAUUGUAUUAUCACACCUGGAUUUAUAUGGUUUUUCUGUUUAAACUUUUGGGCAGACGCCAAGCAAUGGUAUCUCUAG
rnacentral:misc_RNA from 1 species